rnacentral:rRNA from 1 species
UGGGGAAUAUUGGACAAUGGGCGAAAGCCUGAUCCAGCCAUGCCGCGUGUGUGAAGAAGGUAUUCGGAUUGUAAAGCACUUUAAGUUGGGAGGAAGGGCAUUAACCUAAUACGUUAGUGCUUUGACGUUACCGACAGAAUAAGCACCGGCUAACUCUGUGCCAGCAGCCGCGGUAAUACAGAGGGUGCAAGCGUUAAUCGGAAUUACUGGGCGUAAAGCGCGCGUAGGUGGGUUGUUAAGUUGGAUGUGAAAUCCCCGGGCUCAACCUGGGAACUGCAUUCAAAACUGACUGACUAGAGUAUGGUAGAGGGUGGUGGAAUUUCCUGUGUAGCGGUGAAAUGCGUAGAUAUAGGAAGGAACACCAGUGGCGAAGGCGACCACCUGGACUAAUACUGACACUGAGGUGCGAAAGCGUGGGGAGCAAACA